rnacentral:sRNA from 1 species
GUUUAUGUGGUAUAAUAUCUAUUGUAGAAAAGUGAAGACGGUGGCUCCUUAUACCGAAAGAGAGGUGAUGCCUAUGGGCAGUUCAUCAAAAUCUGACGGAAAGGAGGGGCACUCUUUUGACCGCAUUUGAAGUUGUACAGACAAUACUUGGUUUUGGUAGUUUUGCCAUUACUUUGAUUGGCUUGUG